GGGGGCGAAACGGAUUCGACGGAGAUAAAGAAGCAUCGGCUGCAUACCGAGGUCCUGUCGGCUCGUAAAAAGGCAGGAAACUAAAAUAAUCGCAGACGAUUAUAACUACGCUUUAGCCGCUUAAGGCUAACGUCCUGUCUGAUUUCUCCUGCGGAUCAGGCAAGGGCGCCGACUAGCAGGAUAACUGGCUCUGAAUUCCCGUUGCGGCGCCGGUGAAUUUUUUUCGGGAUAGCCUUUUAAAACUCGUGCCUGAACGAGACUUAAUCGGCGACAAUUAAUUUUCAGGCUAAGUAUGUAGAUGCCUGUGUGGAAUAUUUUCGGACGCGGGUUCGACUCCCGCCGCCUCCACAA
rnacentral:tmRNA from 1 species